ensembl:processed_transcript F630206G17Rik RIKEN cDNA F630206G17 gene
ACAAGAGCCCGGAAUAAGAUGGCCUCUAAACUUGGAUCCGCAGCCCUGCGCCAAGCGUGUUUCUUCUUUUAUCUCUGUCGAUGCUGGCCAAAAGCCUGGGUGAGCUUGCUUGCCCUCGAGCUCGGUGUUUUGAGACUCCUUCUCUGAAGGCCCCUGCUCCAUCUACCAUGCAGUUUUAUACAGCCCUCCCUCCAACACUGAACACGCCAGCUGUCUGGGACCCUAACUCAAAAAGGAUUUUGGAAGGUGGAGACAGGUUAUACCGGCGUAGCUGAUCAUCGGGAUCAUGUAAUGAAACCCUCCGGCAUGCCAACUGUUGAGUCAAACACUUGACAAUCCUGAAAUGGGGCAAGUGGAAAGCCUUAAUCAGCAACAAAUCCCAGUGUAGUGUUUCACAGAAGAGGAAAUGAAAACCCAAGAAGACGAUACGCCUUUUUGAGAGUGGCAAAGCGGCCCUCUGGCAGAGCCAGGGUGUGAACCCAGCCUGGUCUUGGCAUUCACAUUCACCUGGAAACAUCUCGAAAAGCUGCAUGAUGUAUUGGGGUCUCUCAGAUCUUCUCUUUCCUGGCCAACUCCAUGUCUCAACGGUCUCUCGGGUGAAUCAUGGAA